rnacentral:misc_RNA from 1 species
AAAGUCGUAACAAGGUCUCCGUUGGUGAACCAGCGGAGGGAUCAUUACCGAGUUUACAACUCCCAAACCCCUGUGAACAUACCUACGUUGCUUCGGCGGUCACCGUCCGGCCCCCCGGGGCUGGCAGCCGCCGGAGGAUUAAACUCUUGUCUUACUUGCAUUCUCUGAGUCUAAACACAAAUAAAUCAAAACUUUCAACAACGGAUCUCUUGGUUCUG